rnacentral:rRNA from 1 species
UGCCUAUUAGCUAGCCGACUCAAGAAAAAUAAGAUUCAACAAGCACCUAUAACUACCCUCUCAGGCACUCAAGAUACCACAAAACAAACCAUUUUUCCCCCCAAGUAAGGGCGACAGAAAAGGGACUAAUCGCGCUAUAGAGAAAGUACCGUAAGGGAACGCUGAAAGAGAAAUGAAAUAAAUCAGUAAAGCUUAAAGAAGCAGAGAUUCUAGCUCGUACCUUUUGCAUCAUGACUUAGCCAGAAAGUCUCAAGCAAAAAGCAAUUUAGUUUGACUUCCCGAAACUACGGUGAGCUACUCCAAGACAGCCUAACAAUAGGGCUAACCCGUCUCUGUGGCAAAAGAGUGGGAAGAGCUUUGAGUAGAGGUGACAGACCUAUCGAACCUAGUUAUAGCUGGUUACCUGAGAAAUGAAUAAAAGUUCAGCCUCUAGGGAUUCUCCACUUCAUCAUUAUCUUCAUUUUUAAGACCAACCAAAAGAAACCAAGAGAGUUAGUCAAAGGGGGUACAGCCCCUUUGACACAAGAUACAACUUUUUAAGGAGAGUAAAGAUCAUAUCCGAACAUCACAGGUGAAAAAUACCGGUGGGCCUAAGAGCAGCCACCCGUACAGAAUGCGUUAAAGCUCAGAUAUAUUCACCGCCUUUAAUACCGAUAAUCUAAUCUUAAUUCCCUACCUUUACCAGGUCUUCCCAUGCAUUCAUGGGAGCGACCAUGCUAAGAUGAGUAGUAAGAGGGCAACACUUGCCCCUCCCCCUGCACAAGUGUAACUCGGAUUGGACCUUCCACCGAACUCUAACGGCCCCAAACAAAGAGGACCCUGAGCAACAGACAUGCCAACCAGAAAAACACUCAGCUACUUUUACCGUUAAACCAACACUGGUGUGCCCCAAAGGGUAGACUAACAGAAAAAGAAGGAACUCGGCAAACACAUAAGCCUCGCCUGUUUACCAAAAACAUCGCCUCUUGCAACUAACAAAUAGGAGGUCCUGCCUGCCCACUGACCAUGUGUUUAACGGCCGCGGUAUUCUGACCGUGCAAAGGUAGCGCAAUCACUUGUCUUUUAAAUAAAGACCCGUAUGAAAGGCAAAACGAGGGCUUUACUGUCUCCUUUUUCAAGUCAAUGAAAUUGAACUCCCCGUGAAGAAGCGGGGGUGCUUCCAUAAGACGAGAAGACCCUGUGGAGCUUCAGACACAUAAAUAGAUCACGUCAAAGCUCUCUAAUAAAAGAAUGAACUAAGCGAACCCUAUUUAAAUGUCUUCGGUUGGGGCGACCACGGUGGAAUUACAAAACCCCCGCGUGGAAUGAGAGCACCCCGCUCCCACAACUAAGAGCUACCGCUCGAAUCAAGCAGAACCUCUGACCAACAAGAUCCGGCAAUGCCGAUCAACGAACCAAGUUACCCCAGGGAUAACAGCGCAAUCCUCUUUUAGAGUUCAUAUCGCCAAGAGGGUUUACGACCUCGAUGUUGGAUCAGGACAUCCCAAUGGUGCAGCCGCUAUUAAAGGUUCGUUUGUUCAACGAUUAAAGUCCUACGUGAUCUGAGUUCAGACCGGAGCAAUCCAGGUCAGUUUCUAUCUAUGUCACAAACUUUCCUAGUACGAGAGGACCGGAAAGAAGGGGCCCAUACUUCAAGCAUGCCCCACCCUUACCUCAUGCAAAUAACUAAAACAGACAAGAGGGAACAAACUCAGCUCGAGAUAAUAGCU